rnacentral:SRP_RNA from 2 species
GCUGGGUGUGGUGGCUCACGCCUGUAAUCCCAGCACUUUGGGAGGCUGAGGUGGGAGGAUCACUUGAGGUCAGGAGUUCAAGACCAGCCUGACCAACAUGGUGAAACCCCAUCUCUA